UACGAAGGGGGCUAGCGUUGCUCGGAAUCACUGGGCGUAAAGCGCACGUAGGCGGAUUGCUAAGUCAGGGGUGAAAUCCUGGAGCUCAACUCCAGAACUGCCUUUGAUACUGGUGAUCUUGAGUCCGGGAGAGGUGAGUGGAACUGCGAGUGUAGAGGUGAAAUCGUAGAUAUUCGCAAGAACACCAGUGGCGAAGGCGGCUCACUGGCCCGGUACUGACGCUGAGGUGGCGAAAGCGUG
rnacentral:rRNA from 1 species